AAUCGCGGAUCAGAAUGCCGCGGUGAAUACGUUCCCGGGUCUUGUACACACCGCCCGUCACACCAUGGGAGUCGGAAAUGCCCGAAGUCUGUGACCCAACCUACGGGAGGGAGCAGCCGAAGGCAGGUCGGAUGACUGGGGUGAAGUCGUAACAAGGUAUC
rnacentral:rRNA from 1 species